rnacentral:rRNA from 1 species
GACGAACGCUGGCGGCGUGCUUAACACAUGCAAGUCGAACGGAAAGGCCCUGCUUUUGCGGGGUGCUCGUGUGGCGAACGGGGGAGUAACACGUGUGUAACCCGCCCUUGUCUUAGGGAUAACUUCAGGAAACUGGGGCUAAUACCGGAGAGGAGCUUCUGCAGCAUGGUGGGGGUUGGAAAGUUACGGCUGUUGGGGAUGGACUCGCGGCUUAUGAGCUUGUUGGUGGGGUAGUGGCGUACCAAGGCUUUGACGGGUAGCCGGCCUGAGAGGGUGACCGGCCACCUUGGUACUGAGGUACGGCGCAGUCGCCUACGUGAGGCAGCAGUGGAGAGUAUUGCACAAUGGGGGGAAGCCUGAUGCAACAACGCCGCGUGCGGGAUGACGGCCUUCGGGUUGUAAACCGCUUUCGCCUGUGACGAAGCGUGAGUGACGGUAAUGGGUAAAGAAGCACCGGCUAACUACGUG